CUUCCUCCCCACCCCCUGCCAUAAUAAAAGCUCAUCUAUUUGUGGUGGUGGUGGUCAUUUUAUAAGAGCUUAGAUGAAAGAAGAGUCCAUUGCUGGAAACCUUUGGGAUCCUACUGCUAAUCACAUCAAAAUUGUAGAAGAAAUCAAUUAAGAAGAAUCGAACAAGAACUUUGGGAAAGUGGUGUUCAAGACUUAAAUCAAUCCUUGGACCACUGAACUUUCACCAACAAGAAGCUGAGAAAGCUGUAUAGCCUCCAAAAGCCCACUUCAGAUUUAGUUAUGGAGGAUAAUAAAAAAAGAUUUAAGUUACUGUAAUAGGCUGAAUAAUUGUCCCUAAAGAUAACAGGUCCUAGUCCCUGGAACCUGUGUUACCUUAUAUUAAAAAAUGGUCUCUGCAGGUAUGACUAACAAAAGGAUCUUGAGAUAGAUUGUCUUGGGUUAUGCAGAUGGGCCCUAAGUACAAUUUCCUGAGCUAAAAUCAAGAGUCAGAUGCUGAACCGACUGAGCCACCCAGAUGCCCCAAGAGAUUAUUUUAAGUUAUUCAACAAAUAUUUAUUAAGGGAAUACCAGGAUAAACAAGAUGGACGUGUUACCUGCUUUCAUGCAUCUUAUAUUCUAGGUAGGGAAGAGAGUGUUCAAUAAACAACUAAAUCAGAGGAUUGAAAGUUGUGUACAGAAAUUCAAUAUUUAGUUGGAAUACAGAGUACCUGAGUGGCCAAUGACAGCCUAAGAGACUGGCUAUUGAGAUGAGGCCCAAAUGUCAAUAAGAAGCCAGCUAUAUGAAAAUGAGAAGAGUACAUUCCAGGAAUAGAGAACAGUUCUGGAACUCCUAUCUGACUUGCUUCUCCUUAACAUACAAAGGAUUAUACUUCCCCACCAUCUUGCAAGUACAUGGGGUAAUGGACAAGUUCUGGAAAACUGGUUAUGAGAAAAAGUGAUAGAAACAACUUUCUGGCUGAUGUAUGACCCUCUCUUCUACUACAAUAGAUAUUGAUGAAGUUGCAUACCGAAAUUGUGGAAGCUCAAGAUUGAGGCUGCCUGAAUUACUGAGUCCUCAUCAUGGACAUCAGUUGUCUUAUGACCCUGAGGUUGGAACAAGUUUUGUAGCUUUCAGGAUGAGCUAGAAGACCAGAAGAAGAGUAGAGUGAGCAUGGGAAAACAGAGGUCAGAUCAUAAAGGCUUUGUAAACUGAGCACAUUGCAGGGAGCCACAUGCCUUUUGCUGAUUGAUGACGACCAGAAGAACUGGAUUGUCAUGUUAGCAUGAUGGAGACAUGCUUAGUAUUCACUUUAUUACGGUGGGCUGGAACUGAACCAUCAGUAUCUCCAAGGUAUCCCCAAAGAGGCUCUGGGUGAUCAGCACCUGGCAAAAGCUGGGAUGGUCUUCCCAAAGAAACACUUCCAUGAGAGUGAGACAGAAACAGUUUGAAGUCUAUUCAUCAUGGUUUGGUAUCCUGUGGAUUUCACUGGAAUGAAUCACUGUUGGGCUUCAGAAUGCUGCCCUGAGAAAAGUGGGCAGAGUGCUCUUUGAAUUAAAAACAAGGGUCUGGAAUACAUCUUGUGUUCCCCUGCCAGGCGCAGGGCUGUCUGUGGAGGAGGCUGAAUCUGCAGCAUGGUGGGCUUUCUUCCCACAGCUGCUAGGGGACUUUUCUGGGAAAUGAGAGAACAUAUUUGUCCAGACUUAAAACUUGUCACUUUUCAUACACUAGGUUAGGCUUGAGGUUGCCUGUUUUCAGGUUCUAGGCUUGGUUUUUAUUGACAAAAUAUAACUUCCAGCUAGGGGUAGGAGUGAGAAAGGAUGUGCUUUUAGAGGUGUAGGAUUAACAACAAAAAAAAGAGGGGCAUACCUGGGUGGUUCAGUCGGUUAAGCGGUUAAGUGUUCAAGUCUUGAUUUCAGCUCAGGUUAUAAUCUCAGGUCAUGAGAUGG